AAUUACAGCAUAGUUUAUAUAUGCAGGGAUCUUUCAGGAAGGAUUUAUAAUUAAGUAGCUUUUUAAAACUGUAAGUUAAAUCAUGGUGUCUUUAGUUCUCUACUAAAUCAAGGGAAGUUUAUAAGGAAAUUAAAUUGAAUAAUUCUAAAUAAAAAACUUUAACUCCUUCAAAGUAAGUGCCCAGAAAGUUAACAAAAUAGUAUAGUCUCCAACUGAUUUAUGGUAAAAAAUAUCUGAACUAGAGGAUCCUUCAAGGGAAGGCAAAGAGAGUCCUUUUUAUAGCAGCCGGAUAAAAGUCUCCCACAGUGACACCUUUAUUCAUCUCCUGUCAGAAGAAAAACACUAUAGGACCAGGCUUCAAAGCUGCAAAUAAACUGUGAGCUGUUGUCAGCGCUAAGCUACAGAUUGGCACAACCUGACAAUCAGCAAUGGAAGGGACUCACAGAUCUGUCAGAGUUGGGAGGGAGCACUGCUUUGCUUUUCCAACACGAAUAUAAAUCAACCCCAUGGCUUCUCCAUCAACAGUUGGGAGAAGAUGACAGUUGCUGAUGCUGUGAUCGCUUCAUCUAUUUUUGCUGAUGUACUGCUCAGUGCUACAAUUUGGUUCUACUAAUUGAUUCCUCCUACAAGAAAACAGCUGAUGAACACCUAUUUUAAAAUGUAUGCCUAAAUAGGGUUGAUCUGCUACUCUUUUAAGACUGCAGCUACUUUUGAUUACUUAACAUAACAAUAAGCAUCUUAGUCACUCAGUUGCCGUAGGUAACGCUGUGUAACACUUGCAUAUUCUCUCACUAUUCCUUGUUGUAACCAUUAGUAUCUGAGGAAAAAUCAAUUUGUUAUUCAAAUUUUGGACUCUCUUUGUAUGUUUCUACUUCCACUUUUCCAUGCAAUGAUAGAAGAUAGGUGAUAUUAGCUGUGGCUGGAAAUGGUUUUAUAUGAUGUCUAGUCCUUUUCUUCAUCCCAAUUCUGGCUGCUGUGAAGUCAGAAAUAUAGAAUAAAUACAAUUGCUCAUACAUGAGAAUUUGCCUGUACAAUUUUAUUUCACAAUUACAAAAGGAUGUUCUUUUCUGAAAACUCAGUUGGACUAGUACUGUAGCAAAUUUUAUAAAUGAAAGAGUAAUUGAUAAAAAAAUACAUUUUAAAAACAAGAUACGUAUUGUUAUCCCAUGCUGUAGGGAAACCAAGGACCUCAUUGCUGUAGAGGGGAGCAAAAUCCAAAAAUGUCCUAAAUCAUUUGGGACAGUGCAAUGGGAAGCAAUGCUUUAAUUGCAAAGGAAAUAGAAGAAGGCUUGGUGUGGGCCUUAGCUGCCUUGACAGAAGGAUAUCCAUGACCAUGGUGAGAGGAUUCCUUUUCCUGCCAAGUGGUAACUUGUACAUAGGGGGGUAGUUGUGAGUGGGAAACUCCACUGCUUUGGGAGAGUGUCUGUGAAAAUUCAAGAGGUGAAGAAAGAUGCUUGUGGAAAUGAGGACAGGGUAAAGAGCUGAUACCUUUUCUCUAGCAGAGGAUUCAGUGACUGACAGCUCCACUAGACUGCAGUUCAGUUCUGCAUUAUCUCAUCCAUUUUGCUCCUUCUUCAGCCUCUGC
ensembl:lncRNA